AGGAAAGUGAAGUUGAUAGGGGAGGAUCAAGAGCCUGCUGUGGUGUAGGUGGAGUUGAAGCUGGGCUGUGAGAAUGGUUGAAUCCCAGACUAUCAGUUUUUAACCAUUCCCUGACAUCAAGUUCCUGCCACUGAACAAAGCUCUGAAGUAUCCUAUAAAUGAGUAGGUUGCAAACUGGGAAGAAUGCUGGGCCUGGAUUCAGGAAGAUCUGAAUUAAAUCCAACUUCAGACAUUGCCUAGUUGUGUGUCCCUGGGUAACUCUCAAAUUUCAUUAGAGGAUCUUCUCGGUUUCCACACCACAGAACAUCAUACCUCUAUAUAUGUGAAAUAUAUUUCAGCUGUCGGGGUAUAGUCACUGAGAUGGGAACAAGACCAACUUGACUAGACCAUAUGGUGGAAGAGAGAAGGACCUUAGAUCUGGGAGAAGGUUCUUGAUGCAAAUCAGUUUUCUAUUUCUGGAGUUCUCAGAAUUAGUCCUCAAGCAAAAUUUUGAAGAAGUCUCUACUUAUAGAAUAAAAAUAAUUCAAU
rnacentral:lncRNA from 1 species